CCUACGGGAGGCAGCAGUGGGGAAUCUUAGACAAUGGGGGCAACCCUGAUCUAGCCAUGCCGCGUGAGUGAUGAAGGCCUUAGGGUCGUAAAGCUCUUUCGCCUGUGAUGAUAAUGACAGUAGCAGGUAAAGAAACCCCGGCUAACUCUGUGCCAGCAGCCGCGGUAAUACGGAGGGGGUUAGCGUUGUUCGGAAUUACUGGGCGUAAAGCGCGCGUAGGCGGAUUAGAAAGUUGGGGGUGAAAUCCCGGGGCUCAACCCCGGAACUGCCUCCAAAACUGCUAGUCUAGAGUUCGAGAGAGGUGAGUGGAAUUCCGAGUGUAGAGGUGAAAUUCGUAGAUAUUCGGAGGAACACCAGUGGCGAAGGCGGCUCACUGGCUCGAUACUGACGCUGAGGUGCGAAAGUGUGGGGAGCAAACAGGAUUAGAUACCCUGGUAGUCCACACCGUAAACGAUGAAUGCCAGUCGUCGGAUAGUAUACUAUUCGGUGACACACCUAACGGAUUAAGCAUUCCGCCUGGGGAGUACGGUCGCAAGAUUAAAACUCAAAGGAAUUGACGG
rnacentral:rRNA from 1 species